rnacentral:rRNA from 1 species
GCACAAUGGGCGAAAGCCUGAUGCAGCAACGCCGCGUGAGUGAUGAAGGCCUUCGGGUUGUAAAGCUCUGUCUUCUGGGACGAUAAUGACGGUACCAGAGGAGGAAGCCACGGCUAACUACGUGCCAGCAGCCGCGGUACUACGUAGGUGGCAAGCGUUGUCCGGAUUUACUGGGCGUAAAGGAUGCGUAGGCGGAUACUUAAGUCAGAUGUGAAAAUCCCGGGCUUAACUUGGGAACUGCAUUUGAAACUGGGUAUCUAGAGUGCGGGAGAGGAAAGUGAAUUUCCUAGUGUAGCGGUGAAAUGCGUAGAGACUAGGAAGAACACCAGUGGCGAAGGCGACUUUCUGGACCGUAACUGACGCUGAGGCAUGAAAGCGUGGG